rnacentral:rRNA from 1 species
AGUGAACGCUGGCGGUAGGCCUAACACAUGCAAGUCGAACGGCAGCACAGUAAGAGCUUGCUCUUACGGGUGGCGAGUGGCGGACGGGUGAGGAAUACAUCGGAAUCUACUUUUUCGUGGGGGAUAACGUAGGGAAACUUACUCUAAUACCGCAUACGCCCUACGGGUGAAAGCAGGGGAUCUUCGCACCUUGCGCGAUUGAAUGAGCCGAUGUCGGAGUAGCUAGUUGGCGGGGUAAAGGCCCACCAAGGCGACGAUCCGUAGCUGGUCGGAGAGGAUGAUAAGCCACACUGGAACUGAGACACGGUCAAGAGUCCUACGGGAGGCAGCAGUGGGGAAUAUUGGACAAUGGGCGCAAGCCUGAUCCAGCCAUACCGCGUGGGUGAAGAAGGCCUUCGGGUUGUAAAGCCCUUUUGUUGGGAAAGAAAAGCAGCAGGUUAAUACCACGCUGUUCUGACGGUACCCAAAGAAUAAGCACCGGCUAACUUCGUG